CCUACGGGUGGCAGCAGUCGAGAAUCAUUCACAAUGGGGGAAACCCUGAUGGUGCGACGCCGCGUGGGGGAAUGAAGGUCUUCGGAUUGUAAACCCCAGUCAUGUGGGAGCAAAUUAAAAAGAUCGUACCACAAGAGGAAGAGACGGCUAACUCUGUGCCAGCAGCCGCGGUAAUACAGAGGUCUCAAGCGUUGUUCGGAAUCACUGGGCGUAAAGCGUGCGUAGGCUGUUGCGUAAGUCGUGUGUGAAAGGCGCGGGCUCAACCCGCGGACGGCACAUGAUACUGGGAGACUAGAGGAAUGGAGGGGGAACCGGAAUUCCCGGUGUAGCAGUGAAAUGCGUAGAUAUCGGGAGGAACACUCGUGGCGAAGGCGGGUUCCUGGACAUUAACUGACGCUGAGGCACGAAGGCCAGGGGAGCGAAAGGGAUUAGAUACCCUUGUAGUC
rnacentral:rRNA from 1 species